ACACAUUCAAAAUUAUAAGAAACUCGAGAGGAAUUAUCUGGGGACCAGUGCUGGCCAUUGGUGAUCCAUCUAAGUAAUUACGUGUACUCGAAGUGCUCGAGUAAUCUAAUCGGUCACAUCAUCAAACCCUACUCCGCGACCUGAACUUCAGGCCUCUCGGAAAGUCGAGCACCAUCUUCAGAGCGUUUUGACAACAUGAUGACAUAGUGACGCAACAAGAGCGUCCGGAAUGCCUACAAUCAACGUGAGCCAAUCUGAUGUCCUCUGAGAGAGAGAGAGGAAGCAGGUUGUGCGGCACCCCGACUUCGGUUUGACUGAUAUGAAGAAAUUGUCUGGAAUCGAAUGAUAUCGCUGGACGAGGUGACAUUUUAUCGAACUCUCUUUUAUCUCAAACUUUCUUCGUGUCUUGAAAUAUUUCUAUCUGUAUUUGAGUGUCUAAGGGUCGAUAUGGAAAAGUCGAUUCCUGCUACCUCGAAGCCGAGGGUUGGCAUCAUCCCCCGUAAAAACUGAACGAAACACUAAAGGGAUAAGAAUUAUGGCGGAGCAGCAGGUCGGGCGCCGGUACCAGGCGGCGAUACCCUUACUCGUGUCACGCGAGGCUGCAGGUUUCUUGUAAACGGGACCAACUGGAAAUUACACACUUACGCCAUCGACUUUAAGGCGGAUGUCCUUUCCGGCCGCUGCCAAUAGAGCACGUAAAAUCGAAGUGGCUGUUCCGGUCUGUCUGGAGGCAACAAGAUGGACGGCAGUUUGUUGUCUUGACUGUACAAUAUCGUUUAAUUAAUAGAGACGAUUGCAUAAGGAUCAACACCCUUUUUGGCCAGAAGCAAUUUGACGACAUCCUCCCUGGAGUACAUUGCAGAUAUGUGGAGCGCAUUGUAAUUGUCCUGAAAGAAAUAUUAUGGAGAAGUAACGAUUUAACGAUUUAACUUGGAAAGCCUGGAGAAACGGAAGAAUCUAUGGCAGGACGUCUGAUUAAAGUGUUUGGAGCAUUAUAAAGAGGCUUGCUUGUUACAAGCAAUAACGUAAUAAGGCUAUAAAUUGCAAUUCGCCGCUCCCAUCUUGUGUACUAACGAGGCUGAGUUCCGAAGGUUGAAUGAUGAACGGUGAACGCGCAUCGUUCCAAUCACGGUUUAUUAGCGUGCAAUUUGAAAAUUGUAUCAGGUCGCUGAGGGAGCGGUGAGUGCGGUCGAUAGCACAGGGGAUCCUGUAUACGUUCUACAAAAAUUCCUCCUCAAAGUGUACUCCCGAUCCCGUUGAUAUUAAUCCUGGCGAUUAUUCAAUAAAAUAUUUUCGAAAGGGUCAUGCGAUUGUAUUUCGUAUUUUUCAGUAGAGCUUGUAGCUAACUUUUCCCUAGGUCUUAUCACGUCGUUUAAUCGUGCCACUUUCUCGUCCUACUGACUGAUCGGCCUACUUACUUACUUUCUCAUAAUCAGUUACACACUCAGUUGGCUACUCCCUUGGCCUUGGCCCUACUUCACGCAAUUCUCCCCCGAUUAGACUCUAGCAUGGAUCGUAGACCCGAUCGUUAACAGUACGCGUUCCGCGCUUGGGGCUCGCGUAGCUUAAUUAUCAAUGACUGGCAAAAACUAUAAGGAU